UCAUCUCAAUUGCAAAUCCAUCAGGCAGAGACCGAAUAACAAUAUUUAUAGGAAGGCAUUCAAAAAUACAAUGUGCUUAAAUAACAACAACAAAUGCUUACUACAGUUGCUACAGCGCAGCUUAAUAAAAAAUUAGCCUUACUGACAGUCUUGUCAACAUCUUAAGUAAAUUAUCAUAGCGAUGGUCUUUGGAGAAGAGAACCCACACUCCUUGCUAAAACACCUCCUAUCAUUAAUCUUAAACCACUUGAAGAUUAUGAUGGAAAGAAUGGGAUCAGUAACCAUUAUCAUCUCAAAUUGCUGUUAAAAACUCCGCUGUUUAUUUUUGCAACCAAAGCGAAUGUAUCUGGGAAAUGCAGAAAAGGGAAGAAAGGAAAACACAAGAAAGGCAGAACAAUUGAGGCGAAUCCUGUUGCAACCUCGAUGAUAAACACAUGGAAAAAGCUGUUACUGCUCUGUGGAUUGCUGGAAUUUGGGUAGACGUUAGAAAAAUAAACAAAGAGAUGGCUCCGCACCAGUUCUGUAAGCGCACCGGUACACUCAAGGAAAGGAUUUGGCAGAGAAGGGAGAGCCUGCUGAUUUAGGGACACCCGACCCGAAACGUUAUCAACGGAUCUUUACACCUUCAAUGAAUCCCCAAAUCGCUGCGAGCCGGGCACACGCCUGAAUACAAUCAAAACGCGGGUUUUUGAAGUUAUUCUUUCAAAACGCAGAAGUUUGGAUGAAGCCUUGAAACAGCACCGUGCACCCCGGCCGGCCCUCCUCUCCCCCCCUCCCCUCCCCUCCUCGAAAGGGUGCCAUUAAAGCGGGGCGAUGCAAAUUAAAA